rnacentral:lncRNA from 1 species
CAAAGAUGAGGAACAGAAAACAAGGAUAGCAAGUGUUUGGAUCAAGAAUCAAGAAUGAGGUCACAGUAUACGUUUUCCAUCAGCAGAGGUGAGACACACAUUAACCUGCUGCAUUGUCUUAUAACAAUCUACAGGGAGGCACUGCACAACUACGUUCGUUACCUCAAUUCCUAACCCAAUAUCGUGUCAACCACCAAAAAUCCCAGGUUCUCUUAAACAAGGUUCAGAGCUGUUUACCAAUCAUAAUCCAAAUAAUGAGAUUCAAGGAUUACUCUAAUCUCUGUGCCAUUUCUACGUCAACCUACUCCUCCUAAACUCAGGCCUACAACCCUCAAUCAUUGGCAGUAUUUCUAAAUGUUUAAUUCCAUUUAGCAUAGCAGGAAGUGAGGGAGGGAGGGUUAGCUGGCUUUUGUAUACUCCAGUAGUGAGCAUCACCCUAGAGAGAAAAAGCAAUGUUUAACCAUGGCUCCAGUUACCUACUCUCUCGGCCAAAAAACAAACAAACAAAAAUCCCUCACCAGAUAUUGUUGCAGGAAGACAUCUAAAUGUCCUUUUGGAUGGCAGCAAUACUUAGUAGAGACAGAUAGGUUUCAGAGCUGUUUUCAUUUUUAGAAAACUAGGAGGGAGUCCUUAUAAUAAUAAAACUAGAUAAAUGUAAUUUUGAUCCACUAUUGCGUUAACAUAUCCCAGCAUCUGUGAUUCACAAGACAAUAGUGACCUUACUUGGUAUAAAUUCAUUUACUCCAAAUAUAUUCAAAACCAUGUUGAAACACUUGAAAGAUAAUUAUUUUGGGGGAAAAGUAUUAAACUGUGAAAUUAUGCUUGAAAUUUGAGAUCUUUUUUUAAAUCUAUAAGAAAUGAGAGCAUUAAUAAGUAGGUAUUCUCAUUUUAUGAACAUUUAAUAACAAUACGCAGACUUAACAUUUGGCUACUGUAAGUUUUGCUCCAUGGAAUAAUGAUGUGAUAGCAAAAAUGAAUAAGACUAUGAAUAAGUUCCUACAUGAAGGUUAAUGUCAGUGGUGAAAAAUCUUAUUAUGCUCCAAUAUACUGCCAGCAUGCUGAGUAUACUUGGAUCAUAAAAAACUGUUUCAUUUUUCUUAUUUAUUUUAUGCAUAGGAAUAUUCAUUUGGCAGUCCUAGAAUCAUCUCAGAAAGGACUGUCCUUUUUAGAAAUAAAUUCUCCUUAGAAUUUGAAAUAAAAGAUGUACAUAUUAUGAAUAAUUAAAAUAUUUUACCAAGUAAUUUCCCUGAUCUGAUUUAUCUGUAAUAGUUACCUAUUAAUAACUCUUCUACUAUUAUGCAGGUAUAAGAUCACUAUAUUUUCCUGUGAUUGCUUCCAUUAGAGAGCUAUGGAGUAGGAGAGGGUUGAGAAGAAUGAAACUUCAAUUGAAUAAAAGGACAUUUGAAACUCAGAGAAGCUUGCAGAGAACCUGUGAAAUAUUUGUACACAUAAAGAUCACCUUAGGCUUCUCUACCCAUGUUUGGUAAAACAUAUGCACUUUUUUUUAUUUUAGGGAUCAUUUCUGAAUAAUUUGUUAACUUAUCAAAGUCACAAUUCAAAACAGAUUUACUCUACCAGUCUAUUUAGGCAUUCAUUUAUGAUUUAUAUCCCACCUAAUCCCAAAAAGAAUUUGAGGUGGUUAUGAGCUAUUAAUUAGUAAUUAAUAUUUAUAGUUUUGAAAGCACUUUAUAUUAGACCAUUGAUUCUAAUCAAUUACUUAUUAGAGCAUACAUUAGUCUGAAUAGUUGUUAUAGUACUGUGUAAUAAAUGUGCUUUUAGCAGUAAAAAUCUAAAUCCGGAAGUGGGAGUUCAUUACAGAGAACAGUGCAAGAGCAGCCCAGAUGUACACCAGCAACUCCAGGAGAGCAGAUGAGUAA